rnacentral:rRNA from 1 species
GACGAACGCUGGCGGCGUGCUUAACACAUGCAAGUCGAACGGUGAAGCUCCAGCUUGCUGGAGUGGAUCAGUGGCGAACGGGUGAGUAACACGUGAGCAACCUGCCCCUGACUCUGGAAUAAGCGCUGGAAACGGCGUCUAAUACUGGAUAUGAGAAGGGUCCGCAUGGACACUUUCUGGAAAGUUUUUCGGUUGGGGAUGGGCUCGCGGCCUAUCAGCUUGUUGGUGAGGUAAUGGCUCACCAAGGCGACGACGGGUAGCCGGCCUGAGAGGGCGACCGGCCACACUGGGACUGAGACACGGCCCAGACUCCUGCGGGAGGCAGCAGUGGGGAAUAUUGCACAAUGGGCGAAAGCCUGAUGCAGCGACGCCGCGUGAGGGAUGACGGCCUUCGGGUUGUAAACCUCUUUCAGCAGGGAAGAAGCGAAAGUGACGGUACCUGCAGAAGAAGCACCGGCUAACUACGUG